rnacentral:snoRNA from 1 species
AUCUCCUGUUUCUGCCCUACGUUCGUUUCGUUUCCAUCGAAUGAUAGGUUCUGGUGAUGGAGUAGAAAAAGCCUAAGAACGGACCUUGGACACUUUUGAUACAUCGUCCUUGGUCUGUUGUUGGGAUCGUGUGGUGAGUUGUAUCCUUGUGUGGUGGAUUUAUCUAAAAUUUGAUACUUUCAUCUGAUCGGCUUCCACUAUAUUU